rnacentral:rRNA from 1 species
CCUACGGGUGGCAGCAGUGAGGAAUAUUGGUCAAUGGACGAGAGUCUGAACCAGCCAAGUAGCGUGAAGGAUGACUGCCCUAUGGGUUGUAAACUUCUUUUAUAUGGGAAUAAAACGUUCCACGUGUGGGAUUUUGUAUGUACCAUAUGAAUAAGGAUCGGCUAACUCCGUGCCAGCAGCCGCGGUAAUACGGAGGAUCCGAGCGUUAUCCGGAUUUAUUGGGUUUAAAGGGAGCGUCGGUGGAGUGUUAAGUCAGUUGUGAAAGUUUGCGGCUCAACCGUAAAAUUGCAGUUGAAACCGGCAGUCUUGAGUACAGUAGAGGUGGGCGGAAUGCGUGGUGUAGCGGUGAAAUGCUUAGAUAUCACGAAGAACUCCGAUUGCGAAGGCAGUUCACUGGACUGCAACUGACACUGAGGCUCGAAAGUGUGGGUAUCAAACAGGAUUAGAUACCCGAGUAGUC